GACGUAGGGCGCGAGCGUUGUCCGGAUUUAUUGGGCGUAAAGAGCUCGUAGGCGGUUGGUCACGUCGGGAGUGAAAACUCAGGGCUCAACCCUGAGCGUGCUUCCGAUACGGGCCGACUAGAGGUAUGCAGGGGAGAACGGAAUUCCCGGUGUAGUGGUGAAAUGCGUAGAGAUCAGGAAGAACACCGGUGGCGGAAGGCGGCUCUCUGGGCCUUACCUGACGCUGAGGAGCGAAAGCGUGGGUAGCGAACAGG
rnacentral:rRNA from 1 species